AUACGGAAGGUCCGGGCGUUAUCCGGAUUUAUUGGGUUUAAAGGGAGCGCAGGCGGAGAUGCAAGCGUGACGUCAAAUUUCGGGGCUCAACCCCGUCUCGCGUCGCGAACUGCGUCCCUUGGUUGCGGGAAGGGGAGGCGGAACUCGUGGUGUAGCGGUGAAAUGCAUAGAUAUCACGAAGAACUCCGAUCGCGAAGGCAGCCUUCUGGCCCGUCAACGACGCUCAUGCUCGAAGGUGCGGGUAUCAAACAGGAUUAGAUACCCUGGUAGUCCGCACAGUAAACGAUGGACACCCGCGGUUUGGCCUGUAUGGCUGAGCCGCCAAGCGAAAGCGUUAAGUGUCCCACCUGGGGAGUACGCCGGCAACGGUGAAACUCAAAGGAAUUGACUGGG
rnacentral:rRNA from 1 species